CAGUGUUCAUUGUACUGUUGCUGCUGUGAAGACAACAAAUUUCAUGACGCCUGCUGGUGAUACUAAAACUGAUUCUGAUUCUGAUUUUGGUGUUGGUGAUAAUAUUUAAAAAGGCUCACAAGAAAAUGGACACUCAAAGCGGCUAAGCAGGUUGACUCUGUGGUUAAGAAGGCAUACGGUGUAUUGGCCUUCAUCAAUCGUGGAAUUGAACUUAGGAGCCGAGAGAAUGUCACUAAGAGAGAAGCCUCGGAAAGCAUCUGUCCCUGAAGCAGUGAGUGCAGCGAGAGAACCAACACUCACCUUCAGAUAAACCCGUGAUUAAGUGCUAACCUGGCUGGUGUAUAGAGGUGAAGAGUUUCACCAGGUCACCGGGGAUCAGAGGCAGUGAAGAGGCUGAGGCUGAAUCGAUCAGCGAGGACAGAUGGACUGAUAAAUGCUUUCCAAAUAGCCAAGGUUGAGAUAACAGAUUGCCCCAGGGAUGAGCAAGUGCAAUCUGGCCUCAGUGAUCCUUGACCUUUUCCUGAUGGAGGUUUACUUUUACGAAUGUGUCAGCACCAAAAUGGUCUAGAUCUGCCAGACUCUUCCCCAAAAAUAAAUGGGAUGAUUUCUGGGGAAGUUAUGUAAACACCGGAGAGAAAUUGGAACGGGAAGUUAUGUUGCUGGGAUCGGAAGAAGGGAUGCAUGGAGUUAGUGAACCUUGCUGGAUCCUAAUGUGUCUGUGAUCCAAAGGUUCUUUGCAAGUCAAGAAUGAGACAUAAAUCUUGUUGCUUACGGCUGUUUUUUUGACUGUUACAAAAGCAAAGAAGAAGAAGGCAAAGUGUUGCAAAGAAAACAGCAGACUAAAAAUAAUAAAGACGAGAAAGUCUGCAGAUGCUGGAAAUCCAGAGCAACACACACAAAAUGCAGGAGGAGCUCAGGGUUGAAAUGUCUAAUACCACAGGGCAUGCAUUGAAGGUGAGAGGGGGUAGGUUCAAGGGGGAUGUGAGGGGUAAGUUUUUUACUCAGAGAGUGGUGGAUGCCUGGAAUGGUGGUAGAGGCAAACACAUUAGAGGCUUUUAAGAAACAUUUGGAUAGGCAUGUAAAUGUGAGGAAGAUGGAUGGAUAUGGACAUAGUGCACGUAGGAGGGAUUAGUGCUUAAGUGAUUUGAUUUGCUUUUCAUCUGUUUAGGAACAAUAUUGUGGGCUGAAUGACCUGUUCCUGUGCUGUACUCUUCAAUGUUCUAACUGUAGUGUAAUUACUGGAAAAUUCACUGAACAAUUACACGAACAUAGGUGGUCAUCUGCCACCAUCUUCCAUGAACUUCAGUUCUGAAUGUUAUUUGCUUACUUUUAUUGUUUCCACGAUUUGUUUUCUUUCUACACAUUGGGUAUUUGAUGGUCUUUUUUAAUGGGCUCUACUGGGUUUCUUUGUGGCUGCCUGUAAGGAGACAGAUCUCAAGGUUGUAUAAAGUAUACAGACUUCGUUAAUAAAUGCACGUCGAACUUUUUGAACUUUAUUUAUCCAAAGAUACAAGCAAGCAUAUGAACACUAAACUACAAGAAAAGUAACAAUUGUACACCCCAAUCCCACAAGCUUCACUAGACCUGAAUCUACGCAGGCUCAACGAACAGAUUCAACAAUGUAAGUGCCGAAAAUUUGCAUGAGGUUGGUGCUAUAAUAUUUGUAUCUGUUACCUUUUGUAAUUUCAAAACAUUAAAUUCAUUCAAAGGAAGAUACCUGAAUCCGGAAAUGUGGGUCUAGCUUCGUAUCUACUUUAAGUGAGGUGUGCACUUAUCACGUGGUAGCGUGAUGACAUAUGCAAUUCAUAUAUUUAUCAUAUAACCCGUAAUGAAUUAUUUAAACAAACAAGAGUGCUUAAUCAACAUAUAUACACACAAGAUUACUCAAACAUGACUUAAAUAUUAAAUACACAACAGUAUCCAUAAAAAGGGAUAUAAUUCUUUCCUUUUGCUUGCUUUUUCUUUCCACUUUUUUCUAUGUGUAUACCUCAGAUAAAUACUUUGUGGAGAUUUGUGACAUAUAUGAUUAUAUGAAAUAUAUGUACAAUGUCUGAAAUACAUCUUAUGGAAAUGUUUGUUUG